rnacentral:rRNA from 1 species
CGUAGGGUGCGAGCGUUAAUCGGAAUUACUGGGCGUAAAGUGUGCGCAGGUGGCCGCGCAAGUCGAGUGUGAAAUCCCCGAGCUUAACUUGGGAAUUGCGCUCGAAACUACGUGGCUCGAGUGUGGCAGAGGAAGGUGGAAUUCCACGUGUAGCGGUGAAAUGCGUAGAGAUGUGGAGGAACACCGAUGGCGAAGGCAGCCUUCUGGGCCAACACUGACGCUCAUGCACGAAAGCGUGGGGAGCAAACAGGAUUAGAUACCCUGGUAGUCCACGCCCUAAACGAUGAUGACUUGUUGUUGGGGGAGUUAAAUCCCUUAGUAACGCAGCUAACGCGUGAAGUCAUCCGCCUGGGGAGUACGGUCGCAAGAUUA